rnacentral:rRNA from 1 species
UACGGAGGGUGCAAGCGUUAUCCGGAAUUACUGGGUUUAAAGGGUGCGUAGGCGGCUUAGUAAGUCAGGGGUGAAAGGUCACUGCUCAACCGUGGAAUGGCCUUUGAUACUGCUGAGCUUGAAUCAGGAUGAGGUUGGCAGAAUGUGGCAUGUAGCGGUGAAAUGCAUAGAUAUGCCAUAGAACACCGAUUGCGAAGGCAGCUUGCUAGACCUUGAUUGACGCAGAGGCAAGAAAGCGUGGGGAGCGAACAGG